rnacentral:rRNA from 1 species
AUUGAACGCUGGCGGCAUGCUUUACACAUGCAAGUCGAACGGUAACAGGCCGCAAGGUGCUGACGAGUGGCGAACGGGUGAGUAAUGCAUCGGAACGUGCCCAGUCGUGGGGGAUAACGCAGCGAAAGCUGCGCUAAUACCGCAUACGAUCUCUGGAUGAAAGCGGGGGACCGAAAGGCCUCGCGCGAUUGGAGCGGCCGAUGUCAGAUUAGGUAGUUGGUGGGGUAAAGGCCCACCAAGCCAACGAUCUGUAGCUGGUCUGAGAGGACGACCAGCCACACUGGGACUGAGACACGGCCCAGACUCCUACGGGAGGCAGCAGUGGGGAAUUUUGGACAAUGGGCGCAAGCCUGAUCCAGCAAUGCCGCGUGCAGGAAGAAGGCCUUCGGGUUGUAAACUGCUUUUGUACGGAACGAAACGGUUCGGGUUAAUACCCUGGGCUAAUGACGGUACCGUAAGAAUAAGCAUCGGCUGACUACGUGCCGGCCGCCGCCGUAAGAC